AGUCUGUUGUGCUCUUUUGUUUUUCUCCAACUUGGAUUUAGGAGGGAUAGAAGGGAGAAUGGACUAAAAGAUGUUUCUCCUUUUGGUUCCUUCAUUUUGGGUGCACAAUGGGGCUCUCUAAGUUGGGGCUGUUUCUUCUCCCCUCUUCUUUUUGACUGUACCACCUUUUUCCCUUGGAAUUUAUUCAUCCCAUUUGUUAUCAGGGUUGCCCUUGCCAGUCUUGGCCCUAUCCCAACUUCAUUUCUAGCCAAGGCACCUGAUCCAUAUUUGUAUCAUGUCACAAACAAGCACUUGCAGUCUCUUCUUUCCCAUCUUGAAUUCCUGCUUUCCUGGUUUUAUCAUCAGCAUGGUGGGGAUGGCAGCUGGCAUUCUACCAAGGGUCCAGCCUCCUCAAGGCCACCUCUGUUUGAAAAGAGAGGCAGAACUUCACUGAGAUGUCCCGGAUUGAUUCAUAGAGAGAUUAACCAUGCAGCAGCAGAACCAAAGCAAGGAUCCGGAGGGACUGAACAGGCAACCAAAAGUAAGUGGCAGAAUCUUCAUUUUACAAAUGGAAGACUGAUUCUUGAAGGAAAUGAAUAUCUUCUUCAGAACUCAGAAUCAGGAGUGGGACUUCUGUGGCUUUGCAACCUAGUCCUGUCGAACUGCCCUUCCUCCUGAGAUGAGGAAUGCUCAAGGUAAGAUUAGAUUCAGAGACUGGAAAGCAAGUUGACUGUUGAGCCGUGUGACAAGAUGUUCUUGUGAAUUUUUAAUUGCUGGCUGUGCAGACGUGUCCUUUGUAAGGCAAUAACCUGAGGAGAUCUGUCCUACAUUUUGGAAACCGUUGUACUUCUGCAACUCUUGGAAUGAGUCUCAAAUGAAAAAUCUGUUCUGUAGCUCAUUCCCUACCAAAGUUCCCUCUAGAUAAAGCUUUAAACCUGUCAACUUAGUGGCUAUUGUUCCAGGAAUUUAUCCUUGGAAGCAAGUGACAGUAUCCCUAAUAUUUGGCUGGAAAGAAAAUCUCUUUGGGGAAAGACUAAAAUGGUGCAAGAUGAUAGUUGCCUGCUUCUUUCUUAUACAAAUUUCAACACUCUGUGAUUUUCUACUUAAGUCAACUCUUAGCUGGUCUCUUACAAAACAACUUUGCAUCUUUUAUCAGCUCGAUGAUGAAAGUUUCUUUUCUACCUGCUUCUUAGAUAUUGGUUUCUUCAUAUUACUACCAGUGUGAUUUUAAUUUCAGGAAACUAAAAACUGUGGUAACUUGUCUAAGAUGUGAAUAUGGGGAGAUCCUUGGAGAUCUUCAAGAAAAAGGGUAGAGGUGGCACUGAGGGAUGUGGUCAGUGGGCAUGGUAGGGAUGGGCUGGGUUUGGAUUGGCAAUCCUGGAGAUAUUUUCUAACCUGAAUGAUUCUAUGAUUCUGCGUCUUCCUGAAAUAUAUGCUGGCACAUCUAUUCUGUGAAGUGAUAAUUCAGGAAAAUUCUGGAGCUCAGAUUCAGCAGUACAUGUGAACAUACCUCAACUUUAAGUCUACAAAUGGCCUCUUGACUUUUGUGGUGAUAUUCGUUUGCUCUAAUUAACACUUUCCCAAGUUCCUGCUGUGCUGCCUCUUUAAGGAGCACCCUUCUUCCUUUACAGCUCCCCACAAGCAAGGUUCUACCCUUCCAUAUACUUUCUGAGGUCUC
rnacentral:lncRNA from 1 species